GGGGGAACCCUAUAAUAGCAGAAUAGGGUUUGACAAGUUACUGCUUAACUUUAAAAUUAUUAUACAGAAAAAGCAGAGAGCUAAAACUACAAUCGUGCUCUUUUGAUUGAAAAUUGCAACUUCUCAUCUAAUUAUAUAUCUAAUAACCCAACUCAAGAAACCCGACAGAGUCACAGAAAUAUGACAAAAGGGCUCAGCAUUGAACAGCUGAAAGUAUAAAGAUUUAGGAUACCAACCAUAUCUAUAGCAAAGCGAUGCGUUCUCGCCCUUCAUCAUUUAGCUGGAAGAAUUCUUCCUUGCAAGGUAGACGCGGUAAGCUGCCAGUCCAACAAUCGUUACAGCAGCUCCGACUGAAACAAACAUAAGAGAGCGGUUUAUGAGCUUGUGAUAAUGCUUGCGACUUUUGCCUGCCUCAGUUUCAGGGAUGCUUAAAUGAGGGUGUUCUGCAGCAGAUGCUAUCCUUCGGAAUACGUUAUUAAAAUCACCCAAUUUUGUACUGAUAGGUAUUGGAGCUUCUAUACCCAUAUCUUGGCUCACCCUUGUAGAAUCUUGUAUGGCCAAAGGAAAUGAAUCGAGGUCAUCUUUGGCAGCAACAAUUAAACAAGGCACCUCAUAGCCAGU
rnacentral:misc_RNA from 1 species